rnacentral:pre_miRNA from 9 species
UCUCGAUAGCGUAAAAGUUAACUCAAAUUUAUAUGGGGUUGGAACGCUUGCCUACGUUUGCUAGGGCCGCUGUUCCAAAUCCAUACAGAUUUGAGUUAACUUUUACGCUAACGA